GAUUAGAAAUGCUUUGCAGCCUUUCAGUAGCCUGGUCCCAGGUCUGUUUAUGCUCAUGCCAAGAUGUUUGUCUAGACAAUGAAUGACAGGGAGUUUACAUGAUAGGAAAUAGACUGGUACCCCAGGCUAGCCUUUCAGAACGUCAACCAACAAGGCCUUGUGUGGCUGUUAUGAUGCUUCAAAAAGUUUGGGGUCACUUAGAAAUGUCCUUGUUUUUGAAAGAAAAGCUAAAUGUUUUGUUCAUUAAAAUAACAUAAAAUGUAUUAGAAAUACAGUAUAGACAUGGUUAAUGUUGUAAAUGACUAUUGUAGCUGGAAACGGCAGAUUUUUAAUGGAAUAUCUGCCUAGGCGUACAGAGGCCCAUUAUCAGCAACCAUCACUACUGUGUUCUAAUGGCACGUUGUGUUAGCUAAUCCAAGCCAGUUUGCGCUGUUCUGUGAAGGGAGUAGUACACAGCAUUGUACGAGAUCUUCAGUGUCUUGAAAAUGUCUUGCAUGGAAUAGCCUUUAUUUCUGAGAACAAGAAUAGACUGACGAGUUUCAGAAGAAAGUCAUUUGUUUCUGUCCAUUUUGAGCCUGUAAUCGAACCCACGAAUGCUGAUGCUCCAGAUACUCAACUAGUCUAAAGGCCAGUUUUAUUGCUUCUUUAAUCAGAACAACAGUUUUCAGCUGUGCUAACAUAAUUGCAAAAGGGUUUUCUAAUGAUCAAUUAGCCUUUUUAAAAUGAUAAACUUGGAUUAGCUAACACAACGUGCCAUUGGAACACAGGAGUGAUGGUUGCUGAUAAUGGGCCUCGGUACGCCGUUUUCCCUGCUGUUAAAACUGUAUCCUCUGUGUUGUUUCAGGUUGGAGAGAUCACCAAGAUCAUGAAAGCCUACAUCAACAUGAUAGUGAAGAAGAGAUGCAGUGUCAGAUCUGUGUCCAGCUACGGAACCAACUGGAUCAGGUGAUUAGGGACAGGACAGGACACAGCCCAGCUUGCUUCCCACCGCCCCAGGCUAACAGGACAGGACACAGACCAGUUGACCUCCCACUGCCCCAGGCUAACAGGACAGGACACAGACCAGUUGACCUCCCACUGCCCCAGGCUAACAGGACAGGACACAGACCAGUUGACUUCCCACCGCCCCAGGCUAACAGGACAGGACACAGCCCAGCUUGCUUCCCACUGCCCCAGGCUAACAGGACAGGACACAGACCAGUUGACCUCCCACUGCCCCAGGCUAACAGGACAGGACACAGACCAGUUGACCUCCCACUGCCCCAGGCUAACAGGACAGGACACAGACCAGUUGACUUCCCACCGCCCCAGGCUAACAGGACAGGACACAGCCCAGCUUGCUUCCCACUGCCCCAGGCUAACAGGACAGGA
rnacentral:lncRNA from 13 species